UACGUAGGGUGCGAGCGUUAAUCGGAAUUACUGGGCGUAAAGCGUGCGUAGGCGGUUGGCAAAGUCAGCUGUGAAAGCCCCGGGCUCAACCUGGGAAUGGCGGUUGAAACUAGUCGACUCGAAUCUGGCAGAGGGGGGUGGAAUUCCACGUGUAGCAGUGAAAUGCGUAGAGAUGUGGAGGAACACCGAUGGCGAAGGCAGCCCCCUGGGCUGAGAUUGACGCUCAGGCACGAAAGCGUGGGGAGCAAACAGGA
rnacentral:rRNA from 1 species